rnacentral:rRNA from 1 species
ACAUGCUUAUAGCAUAGCAUUAAUGCACUGGAUCCCAUUAGAACUACGUAGCUAAGUGUGCUCGGGCUAGAGUAGUACUGGGAUAGGUGACCACCUGGGAAGUCCUAGUGUUUUACAUGCC